UCGAUUCAACCCAAAUGAGAGAGGAAGUUGUUCGCAGUUGUGCUGGCCUCCAAUUGGAGGCAUGUGCACGCUCGACUUCUUCUUUUCUUCAUUUACACACACCUGUGAACUUAUUGUAGGGUGUCCCUCAGGACGCUCUAUGUCUUUUUCAUAUACACCAAUACAUGUUUAUAGAAUGUAGCCUUUUGCUCUCGUCAGAGACAAAAUAAAUCCUUUAUAACUUUCAGCAACGGAUCUCUUGGCUCUCGCAUCGAUGAAGAACGCAGCGAAUUGCGAUAUGUAAUGUGAAUUGCAGAUUUUCAGUGAAUCAUCGAAUCUUUGAACGCAUCUUGCGCUCCUUGGUAUUCCGAGGAGCAUGCCUGUUUGAGUGUCUAUAAAUUCUCAACUCCCUUUGAUUUCUUCAAUGGUGAGCUUGGACUCUGGAGGUAUGCCGGCUGUAAAGUCGGCUCCUCUGAAAUGCAUUGGCAAAGGCGUGUGCAUGAAUUUGGCCUUUCGGUGUGAUAAUGAUCACCGUGGCUGGAUUGCUAUAAUGCUUAUGCCUAAUCCUUUCCAUUUGCUUGGAAAAACCCACUUGACCAUUG
rnacentral:misc_RNA from 1 species